UGAUGCACGCGGCGGUAACGUAUUGCUCUGUUGCAGCGCGCAAAGACGCGUGUUAGGCCCGUUUCUAAGGCAUAAAUUUUGCACGAGUUCUGCUUCAAGCGUUCAUCUUGGCAGAUAUCUUUUCGGAAGAAAGAAGGAAGUCACUGAAAAGCUAUAGUGCCGAACAGCUGGAAGCAGCCGUCAAAUGUGUCGGACAUGGCGGCGCCAUACACGCUGCCGCUAUAGGAAGUUCCGCAUCCCAUCACCAGCCCUUCGAAGGAGGCUGAAAACAGUGAAAACAGGUGACAUUGGACACGAGAACGAAGUGCUCCUUGUUCGGCACGUUCCGAGUUACUAGAAAAUGCCGGUUUUCACCAACACGGAACUAGGGGGCGUAACCGGAGUUCCAGAAUGCGUUCGCCGCUUCCUGACACACAGCCAAGUCGGAACGUCAAGGGUCCGUCCGUCGGUUUGACGAGAAGCGCUGAAACAAGGCACUCACAUCACUUCCUGCAGCCCGGAGUAGCGCAUUUUUGGGUGAUGAAGCACAAGACAGAGAGGUUCAACGAGACAGACAUGAAAGAAUGCACGUUUUUUCGACUUAGAAGGCACAUACAAGGCACAGUGCAAGAUUUUCGAGCCCAAGUUCAGGAGGACAGAGAAUGUCAUUCCAAGACCUGUUUCUUGUCACCUUCAAGGAGUACACUGUUUAUGCCAUUUCCUUUCAGAGGUCUCAACAAUAAAGUCCACGGCGCAGAAAUACAUCAUGCGCUGUUUCUCCGGAAGAGCUCCAUUCGUCAUCGCUCACACACAAAAUGACUGAAGACUCUGACCUUCAAACCGAGAAAGUUCGUGAGGUCGCGCACAAAGACGAGUUGCUCGCGGAAAGAAAGUACGAAGAGGACAAAAUGAACAGUGUAUCGCCUCUUUCGCCUGAUGACACAGUAACCGUUCGGUCUCGCGUAGGACGUGACAUCGCGAUAAAA